AAUUUCAAAGUGCCUUCUCUCCUGAUUUGCUCUUUGCUUAUAUAUUCGCCAGCGAUCCGUAUCUGAAGGACCAGCUCUGAACCACAUGGAGCUUUGACUCCAUAGUCUUCUCGCCUUGGAUGAAGCAAAUGGAAUGUCCCAACUUGAGCUAAACUGGUUUCUCAUGGCAUCAUUGAUGCCUACGCUGGAAAAGAUACAGUAUCCUCGGGAAGAAUUAGUUACUAGGGAGAAAAAGAAUGUCUACAGGAAAUUCAGCCUGAAGAGGGCCUGCCUGUGCCCCCAGAAAGCAUGAAAAGGAAUUGAGGGAUGAAAUGGUUGAGUGGAGCCUGGAUUUUAACUACCGUGAGUUCAACUCUGUUUGCUAUUGACUUCAAUGAAGUAGCUUUGGGUCACUAAACCAGUGGCAGGAACUACUUACUGGAAUAGAAAAAAGAGAUUUGCACCUUCUUACAGGUAGA